rnacentral:rRNA from 1 species
AACGUAGGAGACAAACGUUUAUCCGGAGUUACUGGGCGUAAAGGGCGUGCAGGUGGUCUGUUAAGUCUGGCGUGAAAGCUCUCGGCUAAACCGGGAGAGGUCGUUGGAUACUGGCGGACUAGAGGACGGUAGAGGUGUGUGGAAUUCCGGGUGUAGUGGUGAAAAUGCGUAGAGAUCCGGAGGAACACCAGUGGCGAAGGCGACACACUGGGCCGUACCUGACAC